UACGUAGGGGGCAAGCGUUGUCCGGAAUCAUUGGGCGUAAAGCGCGUGUAGGCGGUUCAGUCAGUCUGCUGUGAAAGUCCAGGGCUCAACCCUGGGAUGCCGGUGGAUACUGCUGGGCUAGAGUACGGAAGAGGCGAGUGGAAUUCCCGGUGUAGCGGUGAAAUGCGCAGAUAUCAGGAGGAACACCGGUGGCGAAGGCGGUUGCCUGGGGCUUUGCUGACGCUGAUGCGCGAAAGCGUGGGGAGCGAGCCGG
rnacentral:rRNA from 1 species